CGUCGCCGUGGAGACGGGGGCGGGGCCGCCGGUGCAGGGCGCGAAAUCCCUGGCCGCUGGCCUUCGCCGCAACCUCUUCCCGGGUCCGGUGAGGAGUCAGCUCCGUCAGUUAUAAGAGGAAGAUAAAAGGCUUUGUUCAUCAGUUAUCUAGUCACAGAGAAACAUAUCAACCAGUGGCUGAAUUUCCAUCAAAAGGGUUCAGCAGAGAAUGGAGAAGAAAAUUGACUCCAGGUCUUUUAGGGAUGGUGUGGUUAAGAAACCUUGUUCUCGUAAGGCACUGCCACUCAACAGGUCUGCCUUCUCUGGGGUCCAGAAGGGGUCACCUCGAAGCUGCUAUUCAUCAACUCCUGCCUCCCACAGCUGGACUCGACACCGAUUAAGAGAACUGCGCAGCAGAUGUGUGGCCAGAAAGUUCUUGUAUUUGUGGAUUCGAAUGACAUUUGGAAGAGUAACUCCCUCUAGAGCCAGGCUUUUCCAUGAGCAAAGAAUACUACAGAAGGUCUUUGGAGAAUGGAGGGAAGAAUGGUGGGUCUCCCAGAGGGAAUGGAAACUCUGCGUUCGAGCCGACUGUCACUACAGAUACUACUUGUACAGCCUGAUGUUCAAGAGCUGGAAGACCUUUGUGCACCAGCAACAGGAGCUGAGGAAGGGGCUCCAAAGAGCUGAGCGUCAUGAUACAAAGCAGAAGAUUCGACAAGCCUGGAAAUCCUGGUUGAUAUACAUGGUUGCUCGUAGGACCAAACGUCAAAUGCAGAACACUGCUCUAGAAUUUAGGCGACAGAGUGUGUUACGUUUCUGGUGGAGAAAGUGGAGGUGGCGACUAGGACAAGCUCAUGCAGAUCGUGCUCUCCUCGCAGCAGCUGUGAAGCACAGGGCCCUGAGCCUCCAGCUGCAGGCUUGGUCACGAUGGCAAGAACAGCUCCUAAAUAGGCGGCGGGAAAGCUGGAAGGUGGUCACUGCUGUGCGACACCAUCAGCGCUGGCAGAAGCAGAGAUCUUGGAAGGCUUGGCUUGAGUACCUCCACAUCUGUAGGGUAAAGAGACGGCAGAGUGAAAUGGCUGCAAAAUUCCACCGUGUCACUGUGCUCCAGAUAUAUUUCUGUGACUGGCAGUGGGCCUGGGAGUGGAGGCAGAGCCUGUCUGCCCACCAGGCCUUGGUGGAGAAGCUAGCCAAGAAGAUAGCUCUGCGGAGGGCCUUUGCACACUGGAAGCACUUCAUGCUGCUACAGGCAGAAGAGGCUGCCCAGCACGCGGCAGCAGCAGAACACCACCGGCACUACCUCCUGUGUUCUUGCUUUAGAGCCUUAAAAGACAAUGUGACCCAGGCCCAUCUCUGGCGAAUAAGAAGGAACCUUGCUCACCAGCUUCGUGAUACCACGCUGCUUCGCAGGUUCUGGAACCUCUGGCAGUCCCGAAUUGAGCAGAGGGAGGAGAGGGUGCGGUCACCCUCACUGCAUGCAGCCUGGAGCCACUACAGGGUGAUAGUCCUGCGCAAGUGUGUCAGGGUAUGGUUGCGAUAUGUGCACAAGAGAAGACAGCAGCAGUUACUGCAGGCCAGAGCCGAUGGUCAUUUCCAGCAGAGAGUGCUGCCUGCUGCCUUCUGUAUGUGGUACAGACUCUGGCGAUGGAACCAGCAGAGUCGAGUCCUCCACACAAGAGCAGUGAGUUUUCACAGGGAGACAUUAGAGAGGCGGGUGUUUGCUGUCUGGUGGCAGAAGAUGUCUCAUCACCGAGAAAACCGCCUGGCUGAGAGAAUGGCCGUACUGCAGGCAGAGCAGCAGCUUUUGCGGAGGUCCUGGCUCAUGUGGCACCGGCAGGCCGCAGCAUGUCACCAGGAGCGGGAUCGGCAAACCGUGGCCUGUGUCCACUACCACAACAGGCUGCUCAGGAAGGCUUUCUGUGUCUGGAAGGGAAGCGCCCAAGGAUUUAGGACAGAGAGGAUGGGUAGGGCACGGGCUGUACACUUCCACUCAGCACGGCUCCUGCAUUGGGCCUGGAGCGUGUGGAACCAGUGCUUGGCCCUGAGGAUGGAAGAACAGCAGAAGCUGAGGCAUGCUGCUCUCCACAGUCAGCACACCCUGCUUUACGGGGCUCUGCAGAAGUGGCUGGUAGGAGCCAGCUCACUCUUCCAGACUUUCCAGGACAGGGUGAGGAGUGUGCUACAGGAGGUGGCAGCCAGGGAGAGACAGCACAACAGGCAGCUGCUAAGGCGGGUGUUACGUCGUUGGAGGGAAAACACCAUGGCCCGAGUGCAUAUGGCCAAGAAGACCUCCCAAGCAAGAGCCCAGUACAGCAGGACUCUGUGCGCCAAGGUCCUGGUGCAGUGGCGAGAGGUUACAUCAAUGCAGAUAUACUACCGAGAAAAGGAGGCGGCUGCCCUCAGGGAGGCCCAGAAAGCACUGGGCAGGGGUCGUCUCCGUAACUGGUUUCAGCGCUGGCAGGUAUACAGCCACAGGGCGGCCCAGCAGAGAUCCCAUCUGGAACAGGCGGCUCUUUAUCACCGCCAGCAGCUGCUGAAGGAAGCAAUGGCUCGGUGGAGGGCACACCACCUAGGGUGUGUCAGGAAAAAGCGUCUGCAGCAGCAAAGUGCCCAACUCCUGGCACAGAGACUCGGUCGUGCCUGCUUCUGCCAGUGGAGGACGCAGCUGGCAGCCAGGAAACAAGAGCAGUGGAGUACGGCCCGGGCCCUGUGGUUCUGGGCCUUCUCACUACAGGCAAAGGUAUGGACUGCGUGGCUGCGCUUCAUAUUUGAGAGGAGGAGGAAGAAGGCACGGCUGGAACAAGCCGUAGAAGCCUACCACCGGCAGCUCCUGCAGGAGGGCACCACAAGGCUUCUGCGCUUUGCAGCUGGGAUGAAGGCCUCCCGGCAGCAGCUGCAGACCCAGCAGCAGGUCCAGGCAGCCCACAGCCUCCACCGUGCAGUCCGCCACUGUGCUGAGCUCUGGAAAAAGAAGGUACUUGGUCCAGGCAUGAUGUCUCAGCCACCAGCACCCAUCCCACUCAGCAGGAGAGUGACAUUUAAGGAUUCCAUUCUGUCUGGAGUUGCUGCUGAGGCUGGAGAUGCCGCCCUGGAGACCAAGAAGUUGCAAGCUCCUCCCUCUCAGGGAAUCCUGGGUAGCUUGGCAGUAGCUGCUGGGGAACCCUGCUGGCUAGAGCUCAAUGAGGCCCACGUGUCACGGAAACAGCCACGACGUCCAUCCUUCCUACUCGAGCGUUUGGAGAACCAGAGGUCCCCAGGAUGGUGCAUCCUUGGGGAGCAGCAGUUAGAGAAGCCUCCAGAAAAGGGUCAAAGCAUGGCCCCGCCAAGAGGCCUUUCCCUAACGAGGCCCUUCCCACCUGUGGUCCUGCCGAACGCUCCUGGUUCAAGUGCAGGCCUGGAGCUGUUGCCUCCUCUUUCCUUCAUGCCCCAUGGGGUGGGAGAGUCUGCCAGGGGGUCGGCAAAGCCCGUCGUCCCAGGACACCAGCCUCUGGCAUGCCCAGCCCUAACCAAGGGGCCUAAGCCCCACCUCUUCAUCCCUGGGGACUUCACAAGCACCAGGAUUGGGCCUGAUUAUGGCUUUGAGGCUACAGGUCAAGGCACUGGGGUCACCUUCCACCAAAGCCCUCCCAGUCUCCUUGGUGGUUCUGAAGGGGAUGGCAGGCAAGAUCAGACUUAUCUUCCAGUUGCUGCAGGCCACACAAAGCUUGAGGCUGAGCUGGAGGGGAUCCAGCAGCAGCUACAGCACUACCAGACCACCAAGCAGAACCUUCGGUGUCCCCAUCCCCAGGUCAUGCCAGCGACAAGCCAACAGCCUACGUAGGUGGCUGGAGCUAAGCCAGGAGGAGCCCAGGCCGGAGGACUGGGAUCUAGAGCAGCAGGUGAAGAGAGAACUGGAGGAGGUGGAGCUAGAGAUCCAGCAGCUGUCUGAGGAGCUCCAGGCCCAGCGUCAGCCCAUUGGUACAUGUAUUGCUCGUGUUCGGGCCCUGAGACAGGCUCUGUGCUAGUGGGCUUGCCCCUGGGGGACAGGUGCUAUCCUUCACAAGGCCACAGAUACCCUCCAGUAACAGAAUACGAAGUUACAGUGGUGUUGGUUUGUUUUUUUUUUAUUUCAAAAUGUCUUGCAAUUAAAUGAAUUACUGUUCA